rnacentral:rRNA from 1 species
CUGGUUGAUCCUGCCAGUAGUCAUACGCUUGUCUCAAAGAUUAAGCCAUGCUUGUCUAAGUAUAAGCAAUUUAUACAGUGAAACUGCGAAUGGCUCAUUAAAUCAGUUAUCGUUUAUUUGAUAGUUCCUUUACUACAUGGUAUAACUGUGGUAAUUCUAGAGCUAAUACAUGCUUAAAAUCUCGACCCUUUGGAAGAGAUGUAUUUAUUAGAUAAAAAAUCAAUGUCUUCGGACUCUUUGAUGAUUCAUAAUAACUUUUCGAAUCGCAUGGCCUUGUGCUGGCGAUGGUUCAUUCAAAUUUCUGCCCUAUCAACUUUCGAUGGUAGGAUAGUGGCCUACCAUGGUUUCAACGGGUAACGGGGAAUAAGGGUUCGAUUCCGGAGAGGGAGCCUGAGAAACGGCUACCACAUCCAAGGAAGGCAGCAGGCGCGCAAGUUACCCAAUCCUAAUUCAGGGAGGUAGUGACAAUAAAUAACGAUACAGGGCCCAUUCGGGUCUUGUAAUUGGAAUGAGUACAAUGUAAAUACCUUAACGAGGAACAAUU